GACGAACGCUGGCGGCGCGCCUAACACAUGCAAGUCGAACGAGCGAGAGAGAGCUUGCUUUCUCGAGCGAGUGGCGAACGGGUGAGUAACGCGUGAGGAACCUGCCUCAAAGAGGGGGACAACAGUUGGAAACGACUGCUAAUACCGCAUAGGCCCACGACCCGGCAUCGGGUAGAGGGAAAAGGAGCAAUCCGCUUUGAGAUGGCCUCGCGUCCGAUUAGCUAGUUGGUGAGGUAACGGCCCACCAAGGCGACGAUCGGUAGCCGGACUGAGAGGUUGAACGGCCACAUUGGGACUGAGACACGGCCCAGACUCCUACGGGAGGCAGCAGUGGGGAAUAUUGCACAAUGGGGGAAACCCUGAUGCAGCGACGCCGCGUGGAGGAAGAAGGUCUUCGGAUUGUAAACUCCUGUUGUUGAGGAAGAUAAUGACGGUACUCAACAAGGAAGUGACGGCUAACUACGUG
rnacentral:rRNA from 1 species